UUAUUUAAAUUUUUGUAUUUUUUUUUUUAUUUUUUUAUAUUGAUAUUUUUAUAAAAAUAUUUUUUUAUUUUAGUAAUAUAGUUUUUUUGAUAAUUAAUACUUUAUUUUUAUUUAUUUUUUUUAGUGAUACAAAAAUUUAAUAAUUAUGUUUGUUAUUUAUUUUAUUAAAUAUAUAAUUUUUAAUAUUUAAUUUAUAUAUAAUUUUUAUUGUUUUAAAAAUAAAAUUAAUAUUAAUUUAAUAUAGAUAUUAUAUUAUUUAAAUAUAAAUAUAUUUUUGUUAUUUAAAUUUAAUUUAUUCUAUUAAUUUAAUUUAAUUGAUUACGAAUUUUUUAUUAGAUAAAUUUUUUAAAAUAAAAGUUUUAAAUUUUUAUAUUUUAUUUUUUAUAUUAAAUAUUUUUUUAAUAUUUAAAUUUUUUUUUAUUUAUUUAUAGUAUGAUUUUUAUUUUUUUUUUUUUAAAUCUUUAUUUAGACAACAAUAUGUUUAAUUAGAAUGGUUUUAUUAUAUUAAUAAUUUUUUAAUUAGUAAUUUUAACAAUUUUAUAUAAUGAAUUUUACAUACUGAUUUGUUUGAUUGUUUAUUAAAAACGUAUUAUUAAGAUUUAUUUUAUUUAAUAUUUAUUCUGCUCAAUGGUUUUACUAAAUAGCUGCAAUAAUUUGAUUGUACAAAGGUAGCAUAAUAAUUUGUAUUUUAAUUGGAUACUGGUAUGAAUGAAUAAACACAACUUAUAUUUUAUUAUUUGUUAUAAAUGAAAUUAAAAUUAAAUUGAAAAUUAUUUAUUGUUAAUAAAAGACGAAAAGACCCUAAAAAUUUUAAAUAAAUUUUGUUUAUUUUUAAUUGGGGUAAUUUUAUAAUUUAAUUUUAUUAAUAUUAUGUAUUUUAAUUAAUUAUUUUUAAAAUAAUAUAUUUAUAUUAAUUACUUUAGGGAUAACAGGAUUAUAAAGAUUUUUAGAAUAUAUAAAAAUUUUUGGUUUUUACCUCGAUGUUGAAUUAAUUUAUAUUUUCUUAUAUAGAUGUAAGAUUGUUUAGUUUGUUCAACUAUUUUUAAAUUACUUGAUUUGAGUUUAGACCGAUGUGAGUUAGGUUGGUUUUUAUCUUUAUUUUUAUGUCUAUUUUAUAGUACGAAAGGAUUUAAAGUAGUU
rnacentral:rRNA from 1 species